AGUUACCAGCACGUUAUGUGGGCACUCUAAGGAGACUGCCGGUGACAAACCGGAGGAACGGUGGGGAUGACGUCAAGUCAUCAUGGCCCUUACGGCCUGGGCUACACACGUGCUACAAUGGUCGGUACAAAGGGUUGCCAAACCGCGAGGUGGAGCUAAUCCCAUAAACCGAUCGUAGUCCGGAUCGCAGUCUGCAACUCGACUGCGUGAAGUCGGAAUCGCUAGUAAUCGUGAAUCAGAAUGUCACGGUGAAUACGUUCCCGGGCCUU
rnacentral:rRNA from 1 species